rnacentral:rRNA from 1 species
UACGGGGGGGGUAAGCGUUGUUCGGAAUUACUGGGCGUAAAGGGCUCGUAGGUGGCCAACUAAGUCGGACGUGAAAUCCCUCGGCUUAACCGGGGAACUGCGUCCGAUACUGGUUGGCUUGAGUUUGGGAGAGGGAUGCGGAAUUCCAGGUGUAGCGGUGAAAUGCGUAGAUAUCUGGAGGAACACCGGUGGCGAAGGCGGCAUCCUGGACCAAUACUGACGCUGAGGAGCGAAAGCCAGGGAGCAAACGGG